rnacentral:rRNA from 1 species
CUCCUACGGGAGGCAGCAGUGGGGAAUAUUGCGCAAUGGGCGAAAGCCUGACGCAGCAACGCCGCGUGCGGGAUGACGGCCUUCGGGUUGUAAACCGCUUUCAGCAGGGACGAAGUGAAAAUGACGGUACCUGCAGAAGAAGCACCGGCUAACUACGUGCCAGCAGCCGCGGUGAUACGUAGGGUGCGAGCGUUGUCCGGAAUUAUUGGGCGUAAAGAGCUUGUAGGCGGUCUGUUGCGUCGGAAGUGAAAACUCAGGGCUUAACCCUGAGCCUGCUUUCGAUACGGGCAGACUUGAGGGAUGUAGGGGAGAACGGAAUUCCUGGUGGAGCGGUGGAAUGCGCAGAUAUCAGGAGGAACACCAGUGGCGAAGGCGGUUCUCUGGACAUUUCCUGACGCUGAGAAGCGAAAGCGUGGGGAGCAAACAGGCUUAGAUACCCUGGUAGUCCACGCCGUAAACGGUGGGCACUAGGUGUGGGACCCAUUCCACGGGUUCCGUGCCGUAGCUAACGCAUUAAGUGCCCCGCCUGGGGAGUACGGCCGCAAGGCUAAAACUCAAAGGAAUUGACGG